GACGAACGCUGGCGGCGUGCUUAACACAUGCAAGUCGAGCGGUAAGGCCCUUUCGGGGGUACACGAGCGGCGAACGGGUGAGUAACACGUGGGUGACCUGCCCUCAGCUCUGGGAUAAGCCUGGGAAACUGGGUCUAAUACUGGAUAUGACUCCACGGUGCAUGUCGUGGGGUGGAAAGCCUUGUGCGGCUGAGGAUGGGCCCGCGGCCUAUCAGCUUGUUGGUGGGGNAUGGCCUACCAAGGCGACGACGGGUAGCCGGCCUGAGAGGGCGACCGGCCACAC
rnacentral:rRNA from 1 species